UUUACCGGUAUUCAAUUCUGCCCUCGUGUUAGAAGCAAUGAGGAAGAAGUUGGAUGAAUGCCCUUGUCUCAAAAGAGAACUAACAUACGCAGAGUCCACAAGGUGAGCCCUCACCGAUGCUCCUGAUGCGAAAACCCCAAAGGAACAGUUCCUGCGGAGCCUCGCCGUCCACACCAACGGAGCCCGUGCAGAAGACUAGCUCUUAAUCGGAACAAGAUGGACCCCUACCUGAGCAGUCCGUUGAAGGCGACCCUCCAGCGGCGCAUGGGCACCAGCUGCUCGAGCCGCAAACCGGCGGCCGCGUACAAGCCGCUGCGAGAACAAUCCGCGACACCGUGGCC